CAGAACUUCACGGUGUCCGACAGCGCCAACGGCACCAAGUCGGUGCGCAGUCUGUCCGGCCUGAAGCGGGACGAUCAGAUCAUGUACGUGCAGAAGUACGAGGAGGAGGGCUCGGGCGCCGACGGCCCAGGCAAGCGGGGUAAGCUGACGGACCUGGAUUUCAACCAGUCGGGGGCGGCUGCCGAGCAGUCGCUGUUCGACCGACCCGGCUUCGGCAACGUCGCCUUCAGGAGAAACAUAAACU